UAGCGAUGAUGAAUAUUAUAGUGUACCAGAGGAGUCUCCGGUGACGGUAAUACAGUCCCUCUAAGAAGUUCUGAGCUU
rfam:Gossypium raimondii chromosome 4, whole genome shotgun sequence.